UACGUAGGGGGCGAGCGUUGUCCGGAAUGACUGGGCGUAAAGGGUGUGUAGGCGGUUUAUUAAGUUAGAAGUGAAAUACCUAGGGCUUAACCCAGGUGCUGCUUCUAAAACUGAUAGACUUGAGUGCAGAAGAGGGAAGUGGAAUUCCAUGUGUAGCGGUGAAAUGCGUAGAGAUAUGGAGGAACACCAGUGGCGAAGGCGGCUUCCUGGUCUGCAACUGACACUGAGGCGCGAAAGCGUGGGGAGCAAACAGG
rnacentral:rRNA from 1 species